CUCACCCAUGAUCAGCAGUGCAGGAACAUUGACUUUAGGAUCGAUUAGGCCACUUUCCACUGUGAGAGAUCUGCGUGGAUCAUAAACAAUGUUUUAUAAAUUGAUACAACUAUGCACCCUAAAGUUACGCAACUAGUAAACAGUCAUUUUGGUCACUAAAUGCGUGAGGUCGUGCCACUAUGACUAUAGUACUUAAAUGUAUCGAAAUUACAAAUACAUCUGUGAGGAUGACUAAUGUUUGGCGAGGAAUCUGGCUAACCACUUUCGAUGGAGUCUCCAAGUCCAACUAUGUUUCUCUAUUCACAAGGUUCAAACCAGAUGCUUUGUUUAAGUAACAAGAGUUCAGUUCCACUCAAAUUUACGUUACAUAAUGUAUGAAUGUUACAUAAUGUACGAAUGUGUGAAUAUUGAAUUGUAAGAUUUUGAUUACCUGUAUGGAACCUGCAAUGCAAAUCUGAAGCCAGAUUUUUCAUAGAGUGAUGCAUAAACUGUCAAGUCUUCCUCAGAGAACCAUGGUGGAAGGGGAGUAGAAGGAUUAAACAAGUCCAUGAUUUCUUGAUCAUCAUUUGCUACUGGCACCUCACUUUUCGAAAAGAGAAUAUAGAUGUUCCUUAUAACCGACUUAACAUCAAAGCGGCCAAAAUCUGCUUCUGCUCUCCCAGGUUCCUGAAUUAAUAUACUCAAUAGUUCAUCUUUGUCAUAAGCUAUUCCAAACCUAAAUAUAAGCAAAAAAGUACAUGUAUCUGGUUCAAAUGCAGACCGAACUUACUCAGUACAUGUACUUUUUUGCUCAUAUUUAAGUCCAGAAGAAGUAUCGAGAAAAAUAAAAAUGAUUGGAAUAGAAUUUGCACCUGCCACCUAGUAAUGUAGAAGCCUUUUGGGAGAAGAUCGUUUUGGAUAGCAGAAGGACCAGGAUUCAUGAAAGGAAUGCCUAAAGUAAUGAGAGAAGCUACUGUUUCUGGAUAGACAACAGGUACAAGAUUUGCUACGAUGGCACCAGAGUCCUUACCAAUAAGGAAAACCUGAUAAAAGCAAUUGAAAUUGCACAUCCAUAAACUAUUAGAUAAGUUUUUCAUCUUAAUCAAAAGGUUCUUAUUCUUUAUCCUUUCAUCUCAAUUUUUUUUUCUACUAAUAACGUAGCAUCGCUUAUUUGGCCACACUGAAUAUUAAUUGGUAUCAAGUGUGGCCGAAUAAGCGCUAUUGAAAGAUGCCACAUCAGUAAAAAUUAUCGCAAAAUGAGUCGGGUGGAAAAUUCAUAAAAUGAUCCUUACCUUGCUGAUGCCUAAUGAAUCUAAAAGAUCUUUGACUUCAUGAACAAGGUCCAAUGAAGUAGCUUUUUCUGGUUCAGCUGGAUGAUCAGAAAGUCCAUAGCCUCUAGAAUCAUAGGCAAUAGCGCGGUAACCGGCAUUUGCAACAGCAAUCAAUUGAUAUCUCCAUGUAUACCAUAUUUCUGGAAAUCCAUGUAAGAAAAGAACUGUCUUUUCACCUGCAUAAAUACACAAACAAAAGUAUUGUCAAACUUUGGAAAUGAAUCAAUUAAGAAUGUUUCUGAUAUGAUGAGGGUGUUGAAUAUACCAGUUCCAAUCUCAGCUACAUGGAGCUUUAGUCCCUUCACUUCUACAUGACUGUGUUUGAUGUUCUCCAUCUUGGAUGCAGGGUGAAGUGUGUUUGUGAGAGAGUUAUGAACUUAUGAUUGCAAAAGGAGAAUAAUAAACAAAAGUAUAAAACAAAUGAAGCACCUACCUCAUUUCCUAAAUUUUCAGAUGAAGACAAAUUGAGGUGAAUAUUUAGAUGCUGUUUUGUAAACAAAGGUCAAUGGUGAGAGAUUAAGGCAUGUUUGGAUAAAGUAUAUUUAAUAAUGUGCUUAAAAAAGGUUAAUUAAGGUUUUUGUCUAAAAGAAUUUUGAUUUUAGUCUCUGAAAAAUAAAAAUGAUACUUUUAGUCUCCGAGGAAGGGGAUUCUGGUAACCUAGAGUUCGGUCGCGAGGUUAGAAAAGUCUGACCAAGAAUUGUUUCCACCAGAAAUCGAACUCUGGUUCACCCGAACAAUCCUCACAUACAAAGGAAUAUUAAUUAUACUAAUAUUUGCCAUUGUAGAAUAAAAUCAUACUGAGUUCUUGCUCAAAUUACUUAUUUGAAUGUCCGUUCCUAUUUAUUUGUUGCUAUUUUACUUUUUAUACAUGUUGAUCAAUAAAUUUUGUUACUUUUAUAACAUUAUUAUUUCUCUUUUCCUUAUAAUACCCUUAAUCAUUUAUUGUCUCAUUUCAUUUUUUUUUUUAUCUGCAAUAAAUACUUACGGACAUUAUUGACAAAAUACUAAUAAAUGUUACAUUGAACUUUAAAAUUGACAAGGAAAUAGAAACAUUAUUUUUCUACAAAAUCGAUAAGCGACAAGUAAUUAAGAACCGAAGAAGUACAACAUUAAGCAUAAGACUCUUAGACUCCAUUAUCACAAUCACAAUCACAAUCAGAAUCAGAUAGUUUGUUUGUCAAGGAACUCAAUGAUGAUCUUGUUCACUUUUUCUGGGAAUUGUUCAUGAACAAAAUGGCUUCCUACUGGAAUAUAUAUAGUUUCCAAGUCUGGCACAAAAUUUUUCACCACUCCACUUCUGAUGUAGUCUUCCAUGCCAGGAAACUUGAAGCAAUAGUCUUCCUCACCCAUUAUCAGUAGUGCAGGAACAUUGAUUUUAGGAUCAGUUAGACCACUUUCCACUGUCAGAGACCUGUUUGGAUCAUAAACAAUGUUUUCUAAAAUGAUACAUGUAUGGUUAGAGACAAUUUCUACUUUAGGGCAUUGGAAAAAAUAGACUUAAUACAAAAAACAAGGAAACGAGAACGAGGAAACAUUCAUUUUGCUCUAUAAAUGUGUGAGGUGUGAAUAAGGAGUUGACUUGUCCUCUUAAUUAUAAUUAUUAGUUUGUUUCUAGAAUAAGGAAAACAAAUCAAAUAUUGAUUUGUUCUCAUUAAAUGUAAUUAUUUAGUGUAAUUACCUGUAUAACCU
rnacentral:lncRNA from 1 species